AUGGUGCAGGUAAGAUUUGAGGCAAGCGGAUUCAUUGUCACUUACCCUCUUUCCCCACAUCACCAAUGUCUCACCAAAACUCAAGCAAGCAAGGACUCGGUAGUAUUGGGAACCACCAAGUUUAUACUUUACAGAUGACACGCUGUUGUUUUGUACUAGGAAGGAGAGUAUCAUUGACUACUUGCCUUUAAAGGUGCCUGUUGUUUUGU
rnacentral:lncRNA from 1 species